UACGUAGGGACCAAGCGUUGUCCGGAAUCAUUGGGCGUAAAGCGCGCGUAGGUGGCCAUUUAAGUCCGCUGUGAAAGUCAAAGGCUCAACCUUUGAAAGCCGGUGGAUACUGGAUGGCUAGAGUACGGAAGAGGCGAGUGGAAUUCCUGGUGUAGCGGUGGAAUGCGCAGAUAUCAGGAGGAACACCAAUAGCGAAGGCAGCUCGCUGGACGUUACUGACACUGAGGCGCGAAAGCGUGGGAGCGAACGG
rnacentral:rRNA from 1 species